CUAUCAGCACAAACACUUUUAUUUUGAGCCGUCGGCUCCGUUCCCCAGUGUGGGCCAGGUCUGUGCCUUUGUGUGCUCCGUGUCCCGCUGCUGUGUGAGCCCCCAGCAACCCCCAAGAAGCAACAGCAUUUCCAGAGCAAAUCCUCCCGUCAGCAAUGCCCAAAUACCUCUGUUACUUUCGUUUCUGAAUGGAGGAGGUGCAGAAGGAAAUGGGCGUCCCGGCUGUGAGAUCUCAUUCAGCGGUUGCAUUUCCUGUUCCCUGCCCUCCACCCUCGCUGGCAGAGAAAGGACUGCACGGGUGGGUGGGCUUUGUGAAGACGAUGUUUUCUGGCUGCUGCCUCCACUGCCCUAUGCUGGCUGCUGUCAUUUACAGUGCCGUUUUCCAUGUUCACGAGCUGCAGUCAGCCCCGUUCAGCGUGCAGGGCCCCCCUGACCCUGUGGCUGUGGCUGUGGGGCAGGACGUGGUGCUGCCAUGCCGCCUGUCCCCGGAGCAGAGCACACAGGACAUGGAGGUGACGUGGUUUAGGGACCAAUUCACGCCCUUCGUGCAUCGCUACAGGGAUGGCCAGGACCAGUACGGGGACCAGGAGCUUCGAUACCAAGGGCGCACGGAGAUGCGCCUCGCCAAUGGCAGCGUGAGCUUGAGAAUCCUCCGCGUCCAGCUGUCUGACAGAGGGAGCUACACCUGCUUUGUUCGCACUGAUCUGGGAUACGACGAGGCUGCGGUGGAGCUGCAGGUCACAGCCAGUGGCUCAGCCCCGCUCAUCGCACUGCAGCGCUACCAGGACGGCGGCAUCCGCGUGGCGUGCCGCUCUGCAGGCUGGUUCCCGCAGCCCCAGCUGCUGUGGCGGGACCCCCGUGGGCAGUGGCUGCCCUCCCUCUCUGAAAACGUCACCCAGGACGGCGGUGGCCUCUACACAGCAGAGAGUGUCCUCGUCCUCGCCAGUGGUGACAGCCAGGAGCUGGCCUGCGUGGUCAGGGCUGCGCUGCACAACCAGGAGAAGGAGUCUGCGUUCUCUGUAGCAGAUCCUUUUUUCCAAAACGCCAGACCGUGGAAGAUCGCCCUGAGCCUGGUACUGGUUGCAGUGGUUGCUCUCUCCAUCGUUGCUGUUUAUCUGCUGAAAAUGAAAGGAAAGCAUGAGAAAAAAAUAGCAGCACAAGCCGCAGAGCUGCGGGACCGUGACUCCAAAAUUGAGAAACAAGCUGAGGAACUUGUGUGGAGAAGAUAUGCAGCGCCGAUUGAAGAUGCGAAGGUGGUUCUGGACGCGGGCACUGCCCACUGCGACCUCAUCCUGGCUGAUGAUGGCAGGAGUGUGAAGCGCACAGACCGACGCCAGGACGUCCCCAGCCGCCCCGAGCGCUUCGAUCCCUGGCGCUGCGUGCUGGGCUGCGAGGGCUUCACGGCAGGGAGGCACUGCUGGGAGGUGGAGGUGGUGCUGGAUGGAGGGGGCUGGACCGUGGGCGUCUGUCGAGAAGACGUGAGGAGGAAAGGGGAGAUUGAGUUCGGCCCAGAGGAAGGCAUCUGGGCCGUGGGGCAGUGGGCAGGGCAGUUCCAGGCGCUCACAUCUCCGCAGCGCACGCUCCUUCCUGAUGUUCGCACUCCCACGUGGGUCCGGAUCGCUCUGGAUUAUGAAUUGGGCCGGGUGGCGUUCUUCAGCCUGGAUGAGGAGAUCCCCAUCUUCACAUUUCCACCGGCGUCAUUCCAUGGGAUAAAAGUCCACCCCUGGCUCUGGUUGGGUCCUGGUACACAGCUCAAAAUGUGGCCCUGAUGAAGAGGAGGAGGAAAGUGAAGGCGCUGCUGGGAUUGAUCCCUGCUGCUAAACAACCAGCCUUUAUCAGUUGGGAUGAAUUUGCCAUCUCCACCUCCAAAGAAAUGAAUGAGCAUACACUUGUAUGCAACACAAAUAAAGUCUGUUCACGCUCAGCCCAGGAGCACUGAGCCUCACUGCAGAGAAGUCCAAAAGGAACAGCUCAGAGAUGCAGCCUGAGCUUGCAGCAAGGUUCUCCAGCAGCUUGAGAUCCUGCAAGUGGAAAGUGGAGAAGCCACCUGAGGAGCACAUCAUGAUUGCAAGUAAGACAUCCAGCUAAGAGUAGCUUCAGACAGGAGUAACACAGGGCAGGUAUGGUGGUGGGAGGGCAAGCACUAAUGAAGAAUGCAGUACUGCAAAAUAGCAUGCAGGGGAAUGCUUCACUGCUACUAUGAGUCAUUAUUUCUUAAUUAGUAAAAACUAAUUCAAAGAGAGAGCAGUGACAGUGGUGCAACGCAUUCCCUUUUAUAAAAUGUGGUCCGUUGCAAUUAGGUAAACAUGUUAGUAAGUAAGAUCCGUAUUCAGAUGGGUUUUCAGCAGUCUCACCGUGACAAAAGGCUGCACAAAACAAAAAGCAAACCCUGCCAGAGCUACUGGGUGCUACCGAGAAACACAGCGCCUCCCUGCUACAACUUGACUAACAGCGCAUUCGUGUGUAUGCACACACACAUCGCAUACCCAUGUGCAUUGGUAAAACUCGCCUUUAGAUGCUUCAGGCAAAUCAGGAGGGGAGAAUGAGGCAGAGCUGAGGAGGGUGCGCAGACCACAGCAGCCAGCAGAGGGGAAUCGUGGUACUGGAGCCGGCACCGAACUUCCCAUGCUGAGGGAGCAGGAGCACUGCAGUGCAGGAGAGGAAAUCAUGUGCAGUCUUAUUCCUGGGGACUGUAAGAGACGGUAGGGGGAACAUCUGAUCUCUCCCUUCCUACCCCAUGCAUUCUGUUGGAAACCACUGCUGCAAAGGCAAAAAGCAGCCCCCAGGUCCUGCCUCUGCUGCUGCCUCCAACUCCCUCACUGCAAGCUGAACAGUAAUGCUGCAAUUUGGUUCCUUGGAUGAUCAAUAUUGCUAAAUCUGGAGCCGGGGGGACUCACAGGCGGGCAGCAUCAGUCAGACAAAAAUCAAGAUUCAUUUCAGAUAUAUAAGAAUAUUUGGGGACAGUUCUGAGAAUCAAAACACUUGGACUGUGAAUUAUAAAUAGAUUUGAGGAAGAAGUCUUGCUUAUAAACACUUUAGGUUGAAGAUGUUUGCUUGUUUUCAGAGACAAUAAAUGUAGGACUACCUAAGCUGGGGGUGAGAGUUUGAGAAAGGAAUUGCAGUUAGCAAAUUGAGGGAGGUCAUUCCCCACUCUGCUCCAUUCUUAUGAGGUUCCACCUGUGCUCCGCUCAAAGGCCCCAGCAUAGAAAAGAUGUGGAUCUCUUGGGGAGAGCCGAGAGGAGGUCAUGAAGGUGCUCAGAGGGCUGGAACACCACUCCUAUGGAGGAGAGCUAAGCUUGUUCAGCCGGGAGGAGAGAAGCUCUGGGGAGAGCUCAUGGCUGCAAACCAUUCUGUGAUUACAUUCCAUGAUUCUGUGGCACCGAGGACAGGGUCUGCCUGAGCACCGGUUUGAUGGCAGGAGGUGGUAAGACAAACAAAGUGCCUUUGUAUCACUUGGGGGUUUUGCUGAUGCUUUUUCUCAUGGCCUUUAUUAAACUCUCACUAUCUCAA